rnacentral:rRNA from 1 species
GACGAACGCUGGCGGCGUGCCUAAUACAUGCAAGUAGAACGCAGUGGGGACGGGUGAGUAACACGUGGGUAACCUCCCAUCAGAGGGGAUAACCCUUGGAAACAGGUGCUAAACCGAUACUGAUGGAUGGACCCGCGGUGCAUUAGCUGGUUGGUGAGUUAACGGCUCACCAAGGCCACGAUGCAUAGCCAACCUGAGAGCGUGAUCGGACACACUUGGACUGAUACAAGGCCCAGACUCAUACGGGAGGUGACAGUAAGGAAUCUUCGUCAAUGGACGAAAGUCUGACCGAGCAACGCCGCGUGAGUGAAGAAGGUUUUCGGAGCUUAAAACUCUGUUGUUAGAGAAGCGGUAUCUAACCAGAAAGCCACGGCUAACUACGUGCCAGCAGCCGCGGUAAUAC